GAUGAACGCUGGCGGCGUGCCUAAUACAUGCAAGUCGAGCGAACGGACGAGAAGCUUGCUUCUCUGAUGUUAGCGGCGGACGGGUGAGUAACACGUGGAUAACCUACCUAUAAGACUGGGAUAACUUCGGGAAACCGGAGCUAAUACCGGAUGAUAUUUUGAACCGCAUGGUUCAAAAGUGAAAGACGGUCUUGCUGUCACUUAUAGAUGGAUCCGCGCUGCAUUAGCUAGUUGGUAAGGUAACGGCUUACCAAGGCAACGAUGCAUAGCCGACCUGAGAGGGUGAUCGGCCACACUGGAACUGAGACACGGUCCAGACUCCUACGGGAGGCAGCAGUAGGGAAUCUUCCGCAAUGGACGAAGGCCUGACGGAGCAACGCCGCGUGAGUGAUGAAGGUCUUCGGAUCGUAAAACUCUGUUAUUAGGGAAGAACAUAUGUGUAAGUAACUGUGCACAUCUUGACGGUACCUAAUCAGAAAGCCACGGCUAACUACGUG
rnacentral:rRNA from 1 species